rnacentral:rRNA from 1 species
UACGUAGGGGGCAAGCGUUGUCCGGAAUCAUUGGGCGUAAAGAGCGCGUAGGCGGUCCGGUAAGUCCGCUCUGAAAGCCCGGGGCUCAACCCCGGGAGGCGGGCGGAUACUGCCGGGCUAGAGUCCGGAAGAGGCGAGUGGAACUCCUGGUGUAGCGGUGGAAUGCGCAGAUAUCAGGAAGAACACCAACGGCGAAGGCAGCUCGCUGGGACGGAACUGACGCUAAGGCGCGAAAGCGUGGGGAGCGAACAGG